GUUCUCUCUCUCAUUUCGUGAAGAAAAACCCCAAAUCCCUCUCUCUCUCUCCCUAAAAAAUCGAACCCAAAUCUCUCCUCCUAACUCCGCCGACGGAAGACCAACUUCGCCGUCGAGGUUCAGAUUCAGAUUCAAAGCCGACGAAGAUUGCGACGACGAUCCCCACGGGAUCGAGCCUGUCACCGUCGCCACCGACGAAGAUUGCGACGAUAUCGAUCUAUUGGAGUUCGAGAGACCGCGAUCUAACGGACUCCGUCAAGGGACCAGAACGGUAACGGAAAGGGUUACGCCUCUUUAGAAAUCGAUAAUGGAGAGAAUCUCGAUAAUUUGAGCUCGAUUUCUGCUUUAAUGGUGCUCAAAACUCUAUUCUUUAUACUUGUCUGGUACCUUUUACUCUGUUGACGUUGUAUAAUAAGACAUUGUUAGGGGAUCAUCUAGGAAAAUUUCCGGUUCCUUUGAUGAUGAACACAGUUCAUUUUGGGAUGAAAGCUGUGAUAUCCAACGCCAUUUUUUUUCCAAUCUCGGUUUAAAUAUAGAAGCGGCCCGACGAUGACAUGGAGGGAUUACUUCUUUAGAGCUGUCUAUUUUUAGAAAUAUUUGAUCUUUGAAUUGUAAAAGUAUAAAAAUAAGGACUUACUGUGGGGUUUUAUUCUGUGCAGUUGUGCCUACGGGAUUAGCUACUGCCUUGGAUGUAAACCUGAGCAAUGAGUCCCUUGUUUUCAUAUCGGUUACAUUUGCGACAAUGUGCAAAUCUGCAGCACUGAUAUUUCUCCUGGUGUUUGCUUUCGUAUUUAGGCCUAUGGCAUGGCUGCUAACAGGAGAUCUUUAUGCUUCAAACGACCAAGCUGCCAUGUGUACUCAUCCUCUCUGAGAGCUUCAAUGAGCUGCUAUCUGCUCUUGAGCAGGUCGCAACUUUGUGCUACGAUGUGUAUUACUAGCUCUUCAUGUUGUAACCGAAACAUUGAUGCAUGAACUCGAAACAUUGAUGUAACCGUGUUGUUUUGCUUGUGUUGUAUUGCAGGACCAAAUGUAGUAAACGAAACAUUGUUGUAACUGUGUUGUUUUGCAACAGAUUUCACUAUAUGUGAGUUUGAGAGUUGCAGUCUCUUUCAAUUUGUUGUUGAUAUGUGGUGUAUAUCCAUUAUUUGUUGAAACAUAGACAGUGAAUUUUCUUGUUA